AAGUCGUAACAAGGUUUCCGUAGGUGAACCUGCGGAAGGAUCAUUAACACGUAUCCAAACGUUAAACAACCCCGUGAACAUACAACCUGCUCUGGUCGCCCGCUCGCAUGGACAAGCCCAGUAAAUCAAGCCCCGGAAAGUUUUUGAUUUGGGACCUCUGUGCGCGUGAGAAAAACUGACAGCGAUUCAUAGAAGCGGUAGGUCAAGUGACACGGCGUCCCCAAGUGACCAGUGAAUGAAAGUGUCGCUGGAGCGUCAAGGACGACUCUUCAAGAUUGCUAGAGGUCGACCACCGACCGGCUUCCGUGUAUACCGAGCUAACACCGCUCCCUUCCUUGCCUGUAAGCAUCCAUACGGAUGGGCAGGCCCCCCGAACAACUGUUAACAAUGGAUAUCUUGGUUCUC
rnacentral:misc_RNA from 1 species